rnacentral:lncRNA from 1 species
UACUGUCAGGUUAUAUUAUCUCCAUCGUCAGUAUUACUGUCAGGUUAUAUUAUCUCCAUCGUCAGUGUUACUGUCAGGUUAUAUUAUCUCCAUCGUCAGUAUUACUGUCCGGUUAUAUUCUCUCAUCAUCGGUAACUACCAGUUGCUCCCAAUUCUCCAGACCAGUACCCUCCUCCCGUCCUCCCCAAACACACACACACACCUCCUUUUAAGUCUUUCUUCAGCAGCUGGUAGUGAGUGGUCUUUCCUUUGUUUACAGUGCUUACUGCUAACCUAACCAUGGGAUCGGACUGAACAUACUUGGGGCCGCAUUUAUGAACUGUGACCCCUGCCUGACCUGUGACAAGUCACAUCAUCCUCAGAGAGUGGCACCAGCAUGGCAGGGCUGGCGUUGGAGUGGAGGGGCUGACGUCAUGCUCUCACCAUCCUGACAAAUCCCUCAGUACUAGAACGAGAGAGGGAGGAAAAGCCUUAGAGGGAGACAGACAGCCCUUGACAGUGGAACGAGAGAGAGAGAGAGGAUAGAGAAGAAGGGAAAAAGAAGGGAGGAGAGGAGAGGGAUUAAGCCUCAUCAAAAGAAACAACAGUUCUCUUUUACAAUACAUCUCAUUGACUUACCAUGCCAGUAAAGCUCAUUGAAUGGAACUGAGAGUACAAAAGUCACAUCAGUCUUUUCAACCACUCUCCUCUUUCCUGGUUGUUGUUGUAGGCCCAAAUUACAAUAUAAUGGUUAGAUAAAUAACAUCAGUCAACUUACCUGGUAACAUAAGGGUUGGAUAAAUAACAUCAGUCAACUUACCUGGUAACAUAAGGGUUAGAUAAAUAACAUCAGUCAACUUACCUGGUAACAUAAGG